rnacentral:rRNA from 1 species
AGAAUGAACGCUGGCGGCGUGCUUUACACAUGCAAGUUGAGCGAGGCCAUCCGCAAGGGUGAGUCGAGCGGCGAACGGGUGAGUAACGCGUGGAUGACCUGCCCUUUAGUGGGGAAUAACCCGGGGAAACUCGGGCUAAUACCGCAUAAGACCGAGAGGUGAAAGCGGGGUCGCAAGAUCUCGUGCUGAAGGAGGGGUCCGCGUUCGAUUAGCUAGUUGGUAGGGUAAUGGCCUACCAAGGCGACGAUCGAUAGCCGGCCUGAGAGGUGAUCAGCCACACUGGACUGAGACACGGCCCAGACUCCUACGGGA